CUCAGUGAUCUUGGUUGCUCGAUUCUGGCGCUUCACAUCAUGUCACCAAUGAUCUACAUAACCUGUCUUCUCACUCUGAUUAUGAUGGUACUGACGAGAUCAUGGUUGGUAAUGGAUAUCUCAACGGGGGUGACUCUACUUCAAGGACCAAAUAAUGGAGGGAUAUAUGAGUGGCACUCUUCCAUAGCACCUACUGCUUUGCAGCCUGUUUCAUUCUCCAGUGUCAAGACUUCUAGUCAGAAUUGGCAUAGUCGUUUAGGACAUCCUUCAAAUAAAAUUUUAGGUCAUUUAAUUUCUACUUUUUCAUUACCAGUGUCCUCUGUCAACUCUUUUAAUUGUAAUCCCUGCAAAUGCAAUAAAGCUCAUAAACUUCCCUUUCAUGU